GUAGGACUGAGUCACUAACCCUCCCUCUGGCGCCAAUAGCCACUCCUGCCCUUCCUCUUCCUUUCUGAACAAGAACUGACUGGUUCAAACGAACUACAAGGUUCAGUUGCACAUACGCCUUGCCUGGAGGUGGGAGGUGCGUGGAUAACUGGAGACAUUAUUAAAGAGGCUCAUGAGAAGAGGAUGGAGGUUGAUCCUGGUUUGGGAAGCUUCCAGCUUGGAAUGAUUACAAUAGAAAGAAGCUGUUCUCCUGAUUCUUCCUGAUGCUGACACACCUUCUCUUUUUAAAAACAAUAGCAUGGCACCUUUGAUUACUGUUAUAAAGUCCAGAGGUCUUCAGACUGGGGCACACCCACCCAGGGGGGUAUAUAAAGACUUUGUAAGGGGCACUUGGGCAUCGAAGUGUUGGGUUAUGUGUCCUCAACUUUCCUAUCGUCGAGUUCCUAAAACAGACUUGCAUAAGAACCUCUGGGCUGGGAGUUAUUUACCCUCUCCUACAUCUCUUCCUUUCUAUCAUCCUUUUGCUACUCUACAAAGGAAAGGCACCACCCUCCCCCAUCCCAAAUCUUACUAAAGUAUAUUGCCUGGGUGUAGAAACCUUUAUGAUAGCAAAGGGACAAUUUCAUUUCAUAAUACAUAUUUAUUAAAUACCUAAUAUAUACCAGGCACAGUUCUGGAUGAUGAGUUACUGCAGUGAACAUAACAGUAAAACAUUUCUGUCCUCAUGGGGCUUCCAUUUUAUCAGGAAGAGAUGGGCAAGAAGCAAAAAAGAUAUUAUCCAUGCUGCUUCUUUCAAUUAAGGCCCUAAAAUUUUCCCAUUAACCUGAUGAAGAAAUACAUUUCCGAAAAAUUUUCCUGGUUAUGUUUAGUAAUUAUCAAAACUUACAAAGUUACAUUAUUUUGAUCAGUUGUAUACUAGUAAUAAUUAUAAUGAAGACUCAAUCUAGCAAAAUUAAUACUUGGAAAAUCAUGGCAAUGGGAAAUUAAAUUUAAAUCACAAUUUAUAUAUGUAUUUUGAUUAUAGAGAAGUAUAAUAAUCAGUAAAAAGGCUUUAAGUAUAAAAAAUUACAUCAUAAGGCCGGGCGCGGUGGCUCAUGCCUGUAAUCCUAGCACUUUGGGAGGCCGAGGCAGGCGGAUCACGAGGUCAGUAGUUUGAGACCAGCCUGACCAACAUGGUGAAACCCCGUCUCUACUAAAAAUACAAAAAUUAGCCAGGCGUGGUGUCAUGCGCCUGUAAUCUCAGCUACUCAG
rnacentral:lncRNA from 1 species